UACGUAGGGUGCGAGCGUUAAUCGGAAUUACUGGGCGUAAAGGGUGCGCAGGCGGUUAUUUAAGACAGAUGUGAAAUCCCCGGGCUCAACCUGGGAACUGCGUUUGUGACUGUAUGACUAGAGUACGGUAGAGAGGGGUGGAAUUCCUGGUGUAGCAGUGAAAUGCGUAGAUAUCAGGAGGAACAUCGAUGGCGAAGGCAGCCCCUUGGACCUGUACUGACGCUCAUGCACGAAAGCGUGGGGAGCAAGCAGG
rnacentral:rRNA from 1 species